UUUAAAGCGAAUAAGGGCGCAUGGUGGAUGCCUAGGAUCUAAGAGGCGAAGAAGGACGUGGUAAGCUGCGAUAAGCUACGGGGAGAUGCAAACGAUCGUUACAUCCGUAGAUUUCCGAAUGGGACAACCCGGCAUACUGAAGGUAUGUCACUCGAAAGAGAGCCAACGCAGGGAACUGAAACAUCUAAGUACCUGUAGGAAAAGAAAAUAAAUAAUGAUUCCCUAAGUAGUGGCGAGCGAACGGGGAAGAGCCCAAACCGGAUCGAAGCAAUUCUAUCCGGGGUUGUAGGACUACUUUUAGAAAGUCAGAUCAAGUUGAAUCAUCUGGAAAGAUGAGCCGUAGCAGGUGAUAGCCCUGUAGACAGAAAUUCUGAUGGACGUGUAGUAUCCUGAGUAGUGCGGGACCGGAGGAAUCCUGUAUGAAACUGCCAGCACCAUCUGGUAAGGCUAAAUACUCCUUAGAUACCGAUAGUGAACCAGUACCGUAAGGGAAAGGUGAAAAGUACUCCGAACAGGAGAGUGAAAUAGUUCCUGAAACCGUGCGCUUACAAGCGGUCGGAGCCAGCAAUGGUGACGGCGUGCCUUUUGCAUAAUGAGCCUACGAGUUACUCCUCACUGGCAAGGUUAAGGUCUUCAGUACCGGAGCCGUAGCGAAAGCAAGUUCUAACAGAGCGAAUCAGUCAGUGGGGGUAGACGCGAAACUUUGUGAUCUAUCCAUGGGCAGGGUGAAGGUUAGGUAAAACUAACUGGAGGCCCGAACUCAUUAGCGUUGAAAAGCUAUGGGAUGACCUGUGGAUAGGGGUGAAAGGCCAAUCAAACUGAGAGAUAGCUCGUUCUCCCCGAAAUGUUUUUAGGAACAGCCUUGGAUAUAGACGUAUUAUAGAGGUAGAGCUACUAAUUGGGCUAGGGGGCUUCACCGCCUACCAAACCCUAAUAAACUCCGAAUGCUAUAAUAUAAUCUCCAGGAGUGAGGCUGUGGGCGCUAAGGUCCAUGGCCGAGAGGGAAAUAACCCAGACUAACAGCUAAGGUCCCUAAUGAUAUGUUAAGUUGAACAAACGCGGUUCAAAUCCUAAAACAGCCAGGAUGUUGGCUUGGAAGCAGCCAUUCAUUUAAAGAGUGCGUAACAGCUCACUGGUCGAGGGUUUGGGCACGGAAAAUAAUCGGGCAUCAAACAUAUAACCGAAGCUUUAGGCCUGACAUUUAGGUGUCAGACGGUAGGGGAGCAUUCUAAACUGCAUCGAAGGUGUGUUGCGAGACAUGCUGGAGCGUUUAGAAAAGAAAAUGUAGGCAUAAGUAACGAUAAAUAAGAUGAAAAAUCUUAUCGCCGUAAGACUAAGGGUUCCUGAUCAACGCUAAUCGGAUCAGGGUUAGUCGGGUCCUUAGGCAAAGCCGAAAGGCGUAGCUGAUGGCAAACUGGUGAAUAUUCCAGUACCUGCUAUAAAUUCGAUGGAGUAACGGAGUAGUGAAAGGAUCGCGCACUUACGGAAUAGUGCGUUAAAGGGUGUAGUUAUAUUGUUGGUUGGUAAAUCCGCCGAUGAUGAUGAAACCUGAUAGUACAGCAAAGCUUCGGCCGCGCUGAUAGUGUCCCUAAUCAGACUUCCAAGAAAAACUUCUAAGGUUCGUUUAUAGCAGCCCGUACCGUAAACCGACACAGGUAGUCGAGAUGAGUAUUCUCAGGCGCUCGAGUGAUCCGUGGUAAAGGAACUAGGCAAAUUGACGCUGUAACUUCGGGAUAAGGCGUGCCGCAGUAAUGCGGCCUCAGUAAAAUGGUACAACCAACUGUUUAACAAAAACACAGGGCCCUGCAAAAUCGAAAGAUGACGUAUAGAGCCUGAUACCUGCCCGGUGCUGGAAGGUUAAGGAAGGAUGUUCGGGGUAACCCAAAGCUUCUGACUGAAGCCCCAGUAAACGGCGGCCGUAACU
rnacentral:rRNA from 1 species